UGAUGGACAGGGAGGCCUUGCAUGCUGCAGUCCAUGGGGUCGCAAAGAGUUGGGCACAAAUGAGCGACUGAACUGAACUGAAGUGUCAAGUAGACAAAUCAACCAGCAAAAUAAUUCAUUCAUCAGGUCAUGAUGAAUGCUACAAAGAAAAUAAAAGUUGGGCAGGAAAGAGUGCCUAUGCAGUCAGGGAAGCCUUUCCAGGGAGGGCAUAUUUAAGCUGAGACGUGAAUGGCCAGAAGGGAACAGCCACACGGAGAACUCAGGAAACAGCAUUCAGGAAGAAGUUCCAUAAGUGCAAAGGCCCUGGGGUGAGUAUGUGUCUUGUUCCCUUCCUUUCACCAUCAAAGCAGGUCCAUGUCAUGCCAGAUUUCUCAUUGCAGCCUUUCUUGAGCAGGUGGUCUAGAUCUCUGGGGUGGAACAUGAGCAUGUUUCUAACACGGAAAAUGAGCAUCUUUUUGAAGAAGUAAAUGGAGUGCUAAAGAAGCAUAAGGGCACAGGAUCCCAGGAGAGUAGGAAAACAUAAGUGCUGUUUUCAAGUUUUUAGCAGAUUAUCAAAGGACAGCAUAUUCUGCUGCCAAAUUGGCUGAUCUGGGUCAGUCCCAAGUUUUCCUGUGCCCCGCAGUUCCCGUGAUGGCAACAAUACCACUCUUGGGUGUAAUCUACAUGGUAGAAUUGAUGUUGAGGAUUAUCCACUGGAGAAGUAGGAGCCAACAGGAAGAGGAGUCUCUGUGUGCUGGUGUGAGAAAUGACUUCCUUCAUCAGGAGCUCUGGAUGAAGAUACGAAGUGCCCAAGUGGCUUCAAAAAGGGGUUUCCUCACUGCACUCCUGUGUGAUCUAUAGGGUGAAUNNNNNNNNNNNNNNNNNNNNNNNNNNNNNNNNNNNNNNNNNNNNNNNNNNNNNNNNNNNNNNNNNNNNNNNNNNNNNNNNNNNNNNNNNNNNNNNNNNNUCUAUAGAGUGAAUUUGAUGAAGAACCCAUAGAAAAUGAAAUAGAGACAUCCUUCACCAAAACAGAAGAGAUUAGCUUUUGCACUGGGAGAUUUGGCCUUAAAGUUCAUAAAUUACCUGUUGACUAUGCCUGUAACUAUGAUAUACUUUGGAGGAAGGAGUAUUAGCUAUGCUGAUUUGAUAUGACUCAACCAUCUUGGCAAAUGUAUUACAAACUGGGAAAUUGAAUUUCUGACUAAAGCUGUAUCUACACAACAGCACAACUGACUAAAAAAAUGAAAAAUGUAGUUAGUUGAUCAGGAUCUAACUAUGCCAAGCAACUAGCCAAGCUGAUUUUUGCUUUACUAAAUUGACCUGUAGCUUGAACAAAUGGGCUGAGUCAUCCAGGUGAUAAGGCAUUAAGUAGAUCUAGUCUAUUCACACCAGCACAUACAUGUAUAUCAUCAGAGUUAGAUUUUCUAUAAUCUAUUUUCUUUUCAGCUCUAGUAGCAAUAAAUUUUGAUGCUCACAGAUAAAAAGAUGAAUUAUUAGAACAGCAAAUCUUCAAUAAAUAUUUGUUGAAAUGUAGGAAGUAAGCAUAAAUAUGCACACUGAUAUUUCUGUAACUGUUAGAACAGUAACUUAUAUCUCCACAUCACACAGGGCAUAAAACUAAAUUGAUAAUAAAGAAGUAACUGAGCAGAAAAGAAUGAAAAGUGGCAAUGUGCAACCAAGUCCGCUUUUAAGAGAGGCUUACAUUUUGUUCUGAGUGAUUACCAGAUCUAGCCCUCAGAUCUUAAUUUUUAAAUAACAUUCUCUAAUAGAAGAAAUCAUGGUUUCUUGGAGAAAAGGCUGAUUCCAGGACAGGGAAAGAAAAGCCAAAGAUGAACCUGGACCAUCUUAUGGUGUCAAAAAAGAGUAAAAAAUGCUCAAAAAAUGAUACAUAUAUAUUGGAAUGACACAGGAAGCAAGUGGCUUAAUCUGAGAUUAUUUCAGCAAUAAAUUAAAUAAUGAUAAUAAUAGAGUAAAAUAAAAGCUACUAAUCUGUGCUGAUAUAAGUAAAUUGAAUAACCAAAUAAAUGAGAAUGAAGGAAGAGCUCUUUCUUCUAGUAAAAUUCUAAUUAAAUAUAGAAGGAGUGAUGGAAAUAGAGAAUUUGGCAAAUCAGUUCAGCUCAGUUCAAUCCCUCGGUCAUGUCCGACUCUUUGCAACCCCAUAGACUGCAGCAUGCCAGGCUUCC
ensembl:lncRNA